rnacentral:rRNA from 1 species
AGAGUUUGAUCAUGGCUCAGGACGAACGCUGGCGGCGUGCUUAACACAUGCAAGUGGAGCGACGAACCGGGCUUCGGCCCGGGGCAAAGCCGCGAACGGGUGAGUAACACGUGGGUAACCUGCCCUGAAGACCGGGACAACCCGAGGAAACUCGGGCUAAUACCGGAUGUGUUCACUGUCCACAAGAACAGUGAGAAAAGGAAGCUUCGGCCUCCGCUUCAGGAUGGGCCCGCGGCCCAUUAGCUUGUUGGUGAGGUAACGGCUCACCAAGGCUGCGAUGGGUAGCUGGUCUGAGAGGACGACCAGCCACACUGGAACUGAGACACGGUCCAGACACCUACGGGUGGCAGCAGUCGAGAAUUUUUCACAAUGGGCGCAAGCCUGAUGGAGCGACGCCGCGUGGGGGAUGAAGGGUUUCGAUCCGUAAACCCCUGUCAUUUGCGAACAAUGGCUAUUCAAUAACACUGGAUGGCUUGAUAGUAGUGAAAGAGGAAGGGACGGCUAACUCUGUGCCAGCCGCCGCGGUAAUAC